rnacentral:rRNA from 1 species
AGCGAACGCUGGCGGCAGGCCUAACACAUGCAAGUCGAACGAACUCUUCGGAGUUAGUGGCGGACGGGUGAGUAACACGUGGGAACGUGCCUUUAGGUUCGGAAUAACUCAGGGAAACUUGUGCUAAUACCGAAUGUGCCCUUCGGGGGAAAGAUUUAUCGCCUUUAGAGCGGCCCGCGUCUGAUUAGCUAGUCGGUGCGGUAAAGGCUCACCAAGGCGACGAUCAGUAGCUGGUCGGAGAGGAUGAUCAGCCACAUUGGGACUGAGACACGGCCCAAACUCCUACGGGAGGCAGCAGUGGGGAAUCUUGCGCAAUGGGCGAAAGCCUGACGCAGCCAUGCCGCGUGAAUGAUGAAGGUCUUAGGAUUGUAAAAUUCUUUCACCGGGGACGAUAAUGACGGUACCCGGAGAAGAAGCCCCGGCUAACUUCGUGCCAGCAGCCGCCGUAA